AAACGUCUUCAGGGCGGGGUGCAACUCCCCACCGGCGGUAGGUACAACGCUCCCGAUGGGGCUGCUGUACGAGCCCGCGAGCGCUCCAGCAAGGCCCGCACAGCAGUGCGGUUACCCGGCGGAGGUCAGCAGAUCCGGUCAGAUGCCGGAGCCGACGGUCAUAGUCCGGAUGAAAGAAGACGGUG
rnacentral:ncRNA from 1 species